UCUCUCUCCUGCUGCCCUGGGAAGUGGUGUCUUCUGCCAUAAUUGCUAGCAGAAACAAGACCAAGUUUGCCUUGUAGCAGAGCCACAAGGUGUGCCUGAUCACAGGGCAGGAUAGUCACCUGAGGACUCUGGCCCUUGGCUUGGCUUGGAUGGAGAGAGGAUAAUGUUUCACUGAAUCCUCACAGUGAUCCGAAGAGGCAUGUAUUAGUCCAUUUUCACACUGCUGAUAAAAACAUACCUGAGACUGGGAAGAAAAAGAGGUUUAAUUGGACUUACAGCUCCACAUGGCUGGGGAGGCCUCAGGAUCAUGGCAGGAUGUGAAAGGAACUUCUUACAUGGU